rnacentral:lncRNA from 1 species
AUGGUCAGUGCAGCUUCAGCCCGUUUGCUGACAGCUCUGCAGCCUGCUCCUGGACCAGCAGCUCCUGUGCUGGCUGGUGUGUUAAGGUCGCUGGAAAGCUGUGCUGUGUUGUACUUGGUGUACACGAACAUCCUUCUGGUGAUUGAUGGCUACACCCUACGGAAAUGUUUUAAUUCUGUCCUUGAAGCGUGCCUUCAGGAACACUGUCAGUACGUAUUCUUCGUCGAGCAGCACACAGCACUUGGGAAUCCGCAGCAGCCCGAGGUCCCUGGCUUCUGCCCAUGGGCAUUCAAUAACCUCUCCUCUGGGCUUUGAAUUCAGUCCCCAAGCCUUCAACCAAGGGACUUAUCUACCUCUGAUUUACUAGAAGGGGCUACUUUAAAAGGCAUACUUAGGACACGAAGAUUCCCACAAAAAAGCAGCAUCAGCUGGUAAAUCACAAACCCAACUAUCAGAUCCCAAGAAAUAAUGUGUGUCCUCCUCAGUCAGGUUGCUCACAAUUACUCCAAGCCACAGCCACGUCCAGCAUCUUGCCUUCACUUUGAUGUUGUUUGCUGCAGUAAUCUGUCCAGAAUCCAGUCAAUCUGAACAGAUGUAUAGGAAAAUAGCAAAGGCUACUGUCCUUUAUCGUUUAUGUUUCACUUUGCACAAUUAUCAAGGAAAAUACUUGAAUACUAAAAAACUUUUGCAGAACUUGGCUUCAGGAGGGCAGAAUUCCACCCUUUUAUGUAUUGUUCCCGUUUGCAAUAACUCCUCUUUAAACCAUAUUCCUGAGCUAUCUGAAGCCUCUGGCCAGAACCUGCAGUUGAGAGGCACAGUUAAAAUGCUUCGAGCUGGCUGAUAUUACAAGACUAGACCCUACUUUAAAGACGUUUAAUGUUACCACACGGCAGCCAAGCCCUCCAACAUGGCAGGUUUGCAAGCCAGCAAGUCACCUGCAGCUUCUCAUGUCAUCUGCUCCAGUGACACCAGCGAGAUAAACUGGAAAAUAGGAACAAAGCACUGGAAAUAUUCCAAAGCUGCCGUAUCCCAGAGGUUAUUUAACUUGGACUUCACACUCCUAAGAUUUCCAUGAAAUAGACUGAGAACUGAAACAGUAGCCGGUAUUAAGCACAGAAUCAGUAAUUUAACUGUUACUCCACAUUUUUUUUACAAUCCUCACUGGAUGUAAACCAGCUUUUUGUCCUGGUGAUACAACUUUGCUACCUGAAAAAUGGCAUUCUCAAGGGGGGGGAAAUCGGUAUAGAAAAUCCUGUGGUGAAUGAAAAAACAACUUGGCAGAAAAAGAGAUAAUUUUGAAAAGCUUAUUAAUGGGUAGGGUUUUUUGUUUGUUUGUUUUUCUGUACUUCAUAACAAUUUCUGCACUGGAUACCAUUACCUUUGGAUUCUGUGGGUUUUCCAGGAAAAUGAUUCACUGAAAGUUGUGUGUGCUUUCAACAAGGAAAAUCAAGAGCCAAACUCCACUUGUCAUUUACCAGUAUUUGUUAUUUAUUUUUGAUGGUUUCAGAUUCGUGGUUUCUACUCCCUCUGAAAGUAAUUAGAACAGUUAUUUAUAAGUAAUAGGAAAAUAAAUUUGUAAAAUCCUUUAUCA